UACUGGAGGGGGUAGCCAUUCCCUUCUCCUGGGGAUUUCCCCGACCCUGGAAUCAGACCCGCAUCUCCUGGGUCUCCCGCACUGCAGACAGAUUCUUUACCGCUGAGCCACUCGGUAAGCCCUUGGCAAGAGCCAACAUUUAGUUGGCAUUUGAAACCACCAGCCACCCGUGAACGCACGUGUCUGCCUCCAAAUGAAGUGCUCGGUGACUCUCCGGAGUAGGUGGCUAUCUAGCAGAUGCCCCGAUGUGGAACCUCGGUGCGAGUGAAUUCAAGGUCAGGACAAGCUACUACGACUGCAGGGCUGCCUAACGACACGGCUCUGACGGCGUGUGGCUCUCAGCGUCGCGUCCUGGCCACGCCGCUGGAAGCUCAGAGACUCUGGGUGAGGAACUCGACCUUCCUAGGGUUCUCCCAGCUACAGGGGGAGAGAACAGUCAUCAGGAGGGCAGUGCGUGUAAGGACGGGAGGAGCUGAUGGGAAGAAGGGAGGCA